ACACUGGAGUUUGUUCAGCUGUUAACAGACAUCAGGGUUGCUUCCAUUUUACCUUUACCCUCAUGAAUAAAGCUUAGAAGAUUUUCGUGCAGAAAUCAUCUGUGGGAGUCCAUUCUGAGUUGUCUUUACUCUCCUAUUGGCCUGUGUCCCCCAGUGUCACCACGUCUUGAUUACACUAGCUAUAAGAUGCUGCAGAAGAGUGUGCCAUC
rnacentral:lncRNA from 1 species